rnacentral:rRNA from 1 species
UACGUAGGGUCCGAGCGUUGUCCGGAAUUAUUGGGCGUAAAGGGCUCGUAGGCGGUCUGUUGCGUCGGGAGUGAAAACUUACAGCUUAACUGUGAACUUGCUUUCGAUACGGGCAGACUUGAGGUAUUCAGGGGAGAACGGAAUUCCUGGUGUAGCGGUGAAAUGCGCAGAUAUCAGGAGGAACACCAGUGGCGAAGGCGGUUCUCUGGGAAUAUCCUGACGCUGAGGAGCGAAAGUGUGGGGAGCGAACAGG